rnacentral:rRNA from 1 species
CAGCCGCCGCGGGAACACGAAGGGUGCAAGCGUUAAUCGGAAUUACUGGGCGUAAAGCGUGCGUAGGCGGUAAGUUAAGUCUGCUGUGAAAUCCCCGGGCUCAACCUGGGAAUGGCAGUGGAUACUGGCUCGCUAGAGUGUGUCAGAGGAUGGUGGAAUUCCCGGUGUAGCGGUGAAAUGCGUAGAGAUCGGGAGGAACAUCAGUGGCGAAGGCGGCCAUCUGGGACAACACUGACGCUGAGGCACGAAAGCGUGGGGAGCAAACAGGAUUAGAUACCCCUGUAGUCCCUGUCUCUUAUAC